rnacentral:rRNA from 1 species
UACGGGGGGAGCAAGCGUUGUUCGGAUUUAUUGGGCGUAAAGAGCUCGUAGGCGGCUUGGCAAGUCGGGUGUGAAAACUCCAGGCUCAACCUGGAGAUGCCACUCGAGACUGCUAUGGCUAGAGUCCGGUAGGGGACCACGGAAUUCCUGGUGUAGCGGUGAAAUGCGCAGAUAUCAGGAGGAACACCGGUGGCGAAGGCGGUGGUCUGAGCCGGCACUGACGCUGAGGAGCGAAAGCGUGGGGAGCGAACAGG